AUUGAACGCUGGCGGCAUGCCUAACACAUGCAAGUCGAACGCGUGGCGGACGGGUGAGUAAUGUCUGGGAAACUGCCCGAUGGAGGGGGAUACCUCCUGGAAACGGUAGCUAAUACCGCAUACCAUCGGAUGUGCCCAGAUGGGAUUAGCCAGUAGGUGGGGUAACGGCUCACCUAGGCGACGAUCCCUAGCUGGUCUGAGAGGAGGACCGGCCACACUGGAACUGAGACACGGUCCAGACUCCUACGGGAGGCAGCAGUGGGGAAUAUUGCACAAUGGGCGAAAGCCUGAUGCAGCCAUGCCGCGUGUAUGAAGAAGGCCUUCGGGUUGUAAAGUACUUUCAGCGAGGAGGCGUUACUCGCAGAAGAAGCACCGGCUAACUCCGUGCCAGCAGCCGCGGUAAUUC
rnacentral:rRNA from 1 species